rnacentral:rRNA from 1 species
AAAGUCCGGCCUGCCCUCUGAUGAAAAUUGAAUGGCCGCGAUAAUUUGAUCGUGCAAAGGUAGCAUAAUAAUUAGUUUCUUAAUUAGGAACUGGAAUGAAAGGUUAAACGAAAAAAAAACUGUCUCGAUUUAAUUUUAAUUAGAAUUUUAUUUUUAAGUAAAAAAGCUUAAAUAAAUUUAAAAGACGAGAAGACCCUAUAGAGUUUUAUAUUUAUUAUUUAAUUUUUUAGUUUAAGAAUUUAAUUUUAAAAUUAUUUAUAUAAAUAUUUAAUUGGGGUGAUUGAAAAAUUGAAUAAACUUUUUUUAAAAAUUAAACAUUGAUGUAUGAUUAAAUGAUCCA